rnacentral:rRNA from 1 species
UACGUAGGGACCAAGCGUUGUUCGGAUUUACUGGGCGUAAAGGGCGCGUAGGCGGCUUGACAAGUCACUUGUGAAAUCUCCGGGCUUAACCCGGAAAGGUCAGCCGAUACUGCGGGGCUAGAGUGCAGAAGGGGCAACUGGAAUUCUCGGUGUAGCGGUGAAAUGCGUAGAUAUCGAGAGGAACACCUGCGGCGAAGGCGGGUUGCUGGGCUGACACUGACGCUGAUGCGCGAAAGCUAGGGGAGCGAACGGG